UACGGGGGGGGUAAGCGUUGUUCGGAAUUACUGGGCGUAAAGGGCUCGUAGGCGGCCAACUAAGUCAGACGUGAAAUCCCUCAGCUUAACUGGGGAGCUGCGUCUGAUACUGGAUGGCUUGGAUUCGGGAGAGGAAUGCGGAAUUCCAGGUGUAGCGGUGAAAUGCGUAGAUAUCUGGAGGAACACCGGUGGCGAAGGCGGCAUUCUGGACCGACAUUGACGCUGAGGAGCGAAAGCCAGGGGAGCAAACGGG
rnacentral:rRNA from 1 species